AGCAAAUCCAGCCUGGGUAUGUCUGUGGAGCUCCUUGCUGAGAGCUCUCCCCUCCUUGGACAGUGCCUGGUGGCUUCUGGUGAGGAAGCAAAUUCCCACCACUGAGGAAUUAAAUACUUCAAAGCACUAAAAAGCAGAGGGAUCAUAUCUGUGUUCUCCAUGCUCUCGGUGGCAAAACAAAGCAAGGUGGAUAAGCCUUGCUGUCAGAGUCCAGAGGCUGGAAGUGAUGGUGGCUGCAGCCUGGCCCUGGCUUUAGCUUGCUUGAGGAGACAGAGCUAGCCAGCAAUGGGACCCAAAGCUUGUUUCAUACUAAGCUGGUGAUUGCCCUGCAAGAAGUGCUGCAGGUCCCCAGUGACACAAGGGGUUUCUGCAGCUCCUUCCCUGUGGUGUUUGCUGUGGAACAGAAGCACAGCUGCAGCUGGGACAUAAAGCUGCAGGCACACCUUUCAGCUGACUUGUUGCAACCUCUGCCAUGAAGGUGAUCAUAGCAUGCAGCUGGGAUGUGGAGACGUUGAGUUUGAAGCUUGCCCUCACUUCCUGGAGGUGUCUCAGCCCAAAGAUCUCCUCUUUGACACCUUCUUGAAGCAGAGCUUUUGGAUUCCUCCUAAGGAAAGCUUUUCUCAUUUUUGUGUUG